GAUGAACGCUGGCGGCGUGCCUAAUACAUGCAAGUCGAGCGAACAGACGAGGAGCUUGCUCCUCUGACGUUAGCGGCGGGCGGGAGUGUAACACGUGUAUAACCUACCUAUAAGACUGGGAUAACUUCGGGAAACCGGCUCUAAUACGGGAUAAUAUAUUGAACCGCAUGGUUCAAUAGUGAAAGACGGUUUUGCGGGCACGUAUAGAGGGAUCCGCGCCGCAUUAGCUGGUUGGUAAGGUAACGGGUUACCAAGGCAACGAUGCGUAGCCGACCUGAGAGGGUGAUCGGCCACCCUGGAAGUGGGACACGCUCCAGGCUCCUGCGGGAGGCAGCAGUCGGGAAUCUUCCGCAAUAGGCGGGAACCUGACGGAACGGCGCCGCGUGAGUGAUGAAGGUCUUCGGAUCGUAAAACUCUGUUAUUAGGUAAGAACAAAUGUGUAAGUAACUAUGCACGUCUUGACGGUACCUAGUCAGAAAGCACCGGCUAACUACGUG
rnacentral:rRNA from 1 species